GAUGAACGCUAGCGGCAGGCCUAAUACAUGCAAGUCGGACGGGAUUCAGGAGCUUGCUUCUGAUGAGAGUGGCGCACGGGUGCGUAACACGUAUGUAACCUACCUUUAUCAGGGGGAUAGCCUCUCGAAAGAGAGAUUAAGCCCGCAUAAAAUCACAGCACAGCAUUGUGUAAUGAUCAAAUAUUUAUAGGAUAAAGAUGGGCAUGCGGAACAUUAGCUAGAUGGCGGGGUAACGGCCCACCAUGGCGACGAUGUUUAGGGGAUCUGAGAGGAUGGCCCCCCACACUGGUACUGAGACCCAGACCAGAAUGCUACGGGAGGCAGCAGUAAGGAAUAUUGGGCAAUGGGCGGAAGCCUGAACCAGCCAUGCCGCGUGCAGGAAGACGGCGCUACGGGUUGUAACCUGCUUGUAUAAGACAAUAAACCCAGAUACGUGUAUCUGGCUGAAUGUACUGUAAGAAUAAGGAUCGGCUAACUACGUG
rnacentral:rRNA from 1 species